rnacentral:rRNA from 1 species
GUGAGGAAUAUUGGACAAUGGGCGCAAGCCUGAUCCAGCCAUGCCGCGUGCAGGAAGACGCAUCUAUGGUGUGUAAACUGCUUUUGUACGGGAAGAAACACUCCCUCGUGAGGGAGCUUGACGGUACCGUAAGAAUAAGGAUCGGCUAACUCCGUGCCAGCAGCCGCGGUAAUACGGAGGAUCCAAGCGUUAUCCGGAAUCAUUGGGUUUAAAGGGUCCGUAGGCGGUGUAAUAAGUCAGUGGUGAAAGCCCAUCGCUCAACGAUGGAACGGCCAUUGAUACUGUUAGACUUGAAUUACAAGGAAGUAACUAGAAUAUGUAGUGUAGCGGUGAAAUGCUUAGAUAUUACAUGGAAUACCAAUUGCGAAGGCAGGUUACUACUUGUGGAUUGACGCUGAUGGACGAAAGCGUGGGGAGCGAACAGGAUUAGAAACCCCUGUAGUCC